UCUCCGUUGGUGAACCAGCGGAGGGAUCAUUACCGAGUUUACAACUCCCAAACCCCAAUGUGAACGUUACCAAUCUGUUGCCUCGGCGGGGUUCUAUGUUCUGCCCCGGGCGCGUCGCAGCCCCGGACCAGGGCGCCCGCCGGAGGACCAACUUACAAACUCUUCUGUAUCCAAGUCCCCCUGCGGACUGUAUUGCAUCUGAGCUUUCUCGGCGCCCCUAGCGGGCGUUUCGAAAAUGAAUCAAAACUUUCAACAACGGAUCUCUUGGUUCUGGCAUCGAUGAAGAACGCAGCGAAAUGCGAUAAGUAAUGUGAAUUGCAGAAUUCAGUGAAUCAUCGAAUCUUUGAACGCACAUUGCGCCCGCCAGUAUUCUGGCGGGCAUGCCUGUCCGAGCGUCAUUUCAACCCUCGAGCCCCUCCGGGGGGUCGGCGUUGGGGAUCGGCACUUAUACCGCCGGCCCCGAAAUACAGUGGCGGUCUCGCCGCAGCCUCUCCUGCGCAGUAGUUUGCACACUCGCACCGGGAGCGCGGCGCGCCCACGGCCGUAAAACAACCCAAGCUUCUGAAAGGUUGACCUCGGAUCAGGUAGGAAUACCCGCUGAACUUAA
rnacentral:rRNA from 1 species